AGUGAACGCUGGCGGUAGGCCUAUCACAUGCAAGUCGAACGGCAGCACAGUAAGAGCUUGCUCUUACGGGUGGCGAGUGGCGGACGGGUGAGGAAUACAUCGGAAUCUACUUUUUCGUGGGGGAUAACGUAGGGAAACUUACGCUAAUACCGCAUACGACCUACGGGUGAAAGCAGGGGAUCUUCGGACCUUGCGCGAUUGAAUGAGCCGAUGUCGGAUUAGCUAGUUGGCGGGGUACAGGCCCACCCAGGCGACGAUCCGUAGCUGGUCUGAGAGGAUGAUCAGCCACACUGGAACUGAGACACGGUCCAGACUCCUACGGGAGGCAGCAGUGGGGAAUAUUGGACAAUGGGCGCAAGCCUGAUCCAGCCAUACCGCGUGGGUGAAGAAGGCCUUCGGGUUGUAAAGCCCUUUUGUUGGGAAAGAAAAGCAGCAGGUUAAUACCCCGCUGUUCUGACGGUACCCAAAGAAUAAGCACCGGCUAACUUCGUG
rnacentral:rRNA from 1 species